CAGCAGCCGCGGUAAUACGAAGGGUGCAAGCGUUAAUCGGAAUUACUGGGCGUAAAGCGUGCGUAGGCGGUUUGUUAAGUCUGUUGUGAAAUCCCCGGGCUCAACCUGGGAAUGGCAAUGGAUACUGGCAAGCUAGAGUGUGUCAGAGGAUGGUGGAAUUCCCGGUGUAGCGGUGAAAUGCGUAGAGAUCGGGAGGGACAUCAGUGGCGAAGGCGGCCAUCUGGGACAACACUGACGCUGAGGCACGAAAGCGUGGGGAGCAAACAGGAUUAGAUACCCGCGUAGUCCCUGUCUCUUAUAC
rnacentral:rRNA from 1 species